ACUUCCCGCCCUGCCUCAUACACACUCAUGGCCUGGAGAGGAACGUGUGCCCACACAGAGAGAACUGUGCCUGCAGUUUGUGGUGAAGGUGCUGGAUGUGGAGUUGGUUUGUGAGGCCCUGCAGGUGGCCGUAACCUUUGGCCUGGGGCAGCUGCAGGAGCGCUGCGUGGCUUUCAUAGAGGCCCACAGCCAGGUACUGCUCCCUUUAUACUCCUCACCCUACGCACCGCAUUGUGCUCCUCCCUGACCCAUUUGCUGGCUCGCAGGAGGCCCUCCGGACCCGAGGCUUCCUGGAGCUGUCGGCGGCAGCGCUGCUGCCCCUGCUCCGCAGCGACAAGCUCUGCGUGGACGAGGCUGAACUGGUCCGCGCGGCCCGAAGCUGGGCGCGCGUGGGCGCGGUGAGUGGGGCUGAGGGAGCACAAGGGCACGGAAGGAGGUGCGGGCCACGAAAUGAGCGGGCGGCAGGACAGGUGCCCGACUCAGGGCUGGCGUUUGCAGGCGGUGCUGGAGCGGCCGGUGGCCGAGGUGGCGGCCCCGGUGGUGAAAGAGCUGAGACUAGCCUUGCUGGCCCCGGC
rnacentral:sRNA from 1 species